rnacentral:rRNA from 1 species
UACGGAGGAUGCAAGUGUUAUCCGGAAUCACUGGGCGUAAAGCGUCUGUAGGUGGUCAAAUAAGUCAACUGUUAAAUCUUGAGGCUCAACCUCAAAAAUCGCAGUCGAAACUAUUCGACUAGAGUAUAGUAGGGGUAAAGGGAAUUUCCGGUGGAGCGGUGAAAUGCGUAGAGAUCGGAAAGAACACCAACGGCGAAAGCACUCUGCUGGGCCGACACUGACACUGAGAGACGAAAGCUAGGGGAGCGAAUGGG